UACAGAGACUGCGAGCGUUAUUCGGAUUCACUGGGCGUAAAGGGUGCGCAGGCGGCCAAGUGUGUGAGGCGUGAAAGCCUGGGGCUUAACUCCAGAAUUGCACCUCAAACUACAUGGCUAGAGCAUUGGAGAGGGUAGCAGAAUUCACGGUGUAGCAGUGAAAUGCGUAGAUAUCGUGAGGAAUACCAGAGGCGAAGGCGGCUACCUGGACAAUUGCUGACACUCAGGCACGAAAGCGUGGGGAGCAAAAGGG
rnacentral:rRNA from 1 species